CGGGAAACUGGGGAUAAUACCCCAUAGACUAUGGAUGCUGGAAUGCUGGGUAGUCGAAAGGUCCGCCGCCGUAGGAUGGGUCUGCGGCCGAUUAGGUUGUUGUUGGGGUAACGGCCCAACAAGCCUGUAAUCGGUACGGGUUGUGGGAGCAAGAGCCCGGAGAUGGAUUCUGAGACACGAAUCCAGGCCCUACGGGGCGCAGCAGGCGCGAAAACUUUACAAUGCGGGAAACCGUGCUAAGGGAACUCCGAGUGCCCGUUAACUCGGGCUGUCCAUCUGUUUCCAUACCAGGUGAAGAAAGGGCCGGGCAAGACCGGUGCCAGCCGCCGCGGUAACA
rnacentral:rRNA from 1 species